rnacentral:lncRNA from 1 species
GGAAGGAGGCCGGGCGCCGACGUAUUUCGCCCGUGGAGAGCCAGGGGGGACGCUGAAGCCCGGCGUCGCAGCGGAGGGGCGCCUUCAAGUGCUGCCAGGGCUCCCUGGGGAGCCAGAUGGCAGCGAGAAGGGCGAGUGGGACCGGGAGGUUUCUUCCUCCCGAGGAAGACAGGCUUGAGAACGUCUGUGGAUCCUGUAAGUCUCUAGAUGCCCCUACCCCCGCCCUCUGCCCAACACAGUAGCCACUGGCCGCAUGAGGCUGUGGAGCCCUGAAACAAACGCGCUAGGCCUGAUUGAGAUGUGCCGAAGGUCAAGUACACCUCGGAUUCUGAAGACUUAGUACACAAAGAAAAUGUAAAAUAGCUCUCUGAUGAUGUUUGAUGUUGAUUACCUGUUGAAAUCGUAAUAUAUUAGAUAUAUUGGGUUAAACGGACUAGAUUAUUAAAAUUAAUUUCCCUUGUUGCUUGUUCCUUUAAGUGGAUACACCACUGGUGCAGAGGUUCUGCAGAGGAAGCGACAACUGGCCCGGUUGCCCUUCUAGCAGCACCAAGGAAAGAAACAGAAGAUGGGUCUCCCAUGUUGAGGCGCCCCCUACCAGGGCAAGGUGAGCCCAAGAAUUACACAGGCAGAACCCUCAACAAGAGCAGGGUUUCCUGGAACGUCUGGAGCAGCAACUCUUGACAGUUUAAAGCCCAUUUUCCCUACCACCUCCACCUCCAACCCUCAGGAAUGGAAAGAUCUUUCUGAGAAGAGGGCUGAUAUCUGUUCAAAAUGUAUUUCUGCUGACCACUGACAUCUGAUGAGAGGGUGAGGGGUAGCCUCUAUCACAAAGCUGUAGGACCUAGAGCUGGGGGGAGGGGGUCUUGGGGCUUCACCGCACUAGCCCUGCCUUUUGGGCUCCAUUUACCAGUCAGGCUGAGGCCCAGGAGACAACGACCUGUCCAGAGAUGGCUGUGUACCCUGGAGUGGAGCCUGGAGUCCAGGCUAAGUCACGAGGGGGGGGGGGGGGGGGGGCAGGGUUCUGCCCAGCCCAUCCAGAGCUGGCAUUUGGAUCUCAGUUCUCUGACAACUGCUUGGGAAAAAGAGACCUUUUAAAAUAGUCCAUCUGCAAAUGGGCCCCUGUGAGGAGCCCUAUGGGAAAGAAGAGGAAGCUUUCAGGCCAGAAUGUGUAAGAACAAAGGGAAGAAACAAGCCUGUUGUGUACAGAGAGGCCACCUGGAGAGGUGGAGACCUGAGUCCAGUCCUGCACUGUGUUUUUCUGGGCCAGCUUCCUCAUAGGUAAGGGAAGCAGCUGAAUGGAUUAAAUCAGCUUUCCCCAAGAAACUCUGGGAUAUAGUGAAAGUGCAUCAGGAAUUCAUAACCUUUCAUUUGGCUUCACUUUAAAAAUUUUGUCUUAGAACUUCUAAUAAAUGUUAGCGGAAACGUGUUAUAUGCCAAAAGUGUUGGAGCCCACUGAUGUACAGUUGACCCUUGAAUAACAUGGGUUUGAACCGUACAGGUCUGCUUAUACAUGCAUUUUUUUAGAUACAGUGCAACACUCUAUCUGUAAUUUCUCAUCCUUAAGAUUUUUUCUUUUUAAAAAAAAAUUUAAAAGGUUUUUUAUGUGUGUUUUUGUUUUUUGUUUUAAUGUUUAUUAUUUUUGAGAGAGAGAGAGCACACGUGGGGGAAAGGAAGAGAGAGAGAGGGAGACACAGUAUCCAAAGCAGGCUCCAGGCUCUGAGCUGUCAGCACAGAACCCAAUGUGGGGCUCCCACUCAGGAACCGUGAGAUCAUGACCUAAGCCGAAGUCGGACACUUAACUGACUGAACCACCCAGGUGCCCUUAUUUUUUUGGUGUGUGUGUGUGUGUGUGUGUGUGUGUGUGUGUGUGUGUGUUUGUAAUCUCUGCACCCAAUGUGGGGCUAAAACUCACAAUCCCAAGAUCAAGAGUUGCAUGCUCUUUUGACCAAGACAGCCAAGUACUCCUCUCCCUUGUGAUUUUCUUAAUAUUUUCUUUUCUCUAGCUUACUUUACUCUAAGGAUACAGUAUAUAGUGCAUAUAAAAUACAAAACAUGUGUUCAUUAACUGUUUUAUGUUAGUAAGCCUUCUGGUCAACAGGCUAUUAGCAGUUAGAUUUGGGGGCAGUAAGAAGUUGUAUGUGGAUCUUCGACUGCACGGAGGAGUCAGCACCCCUAACCUGCAUGCUGUUCAAGGGUCAACUGUAGUUAAAGUCUGACAGAUUAGCUCAUUGGGGAGAAGACCUUUGAAUAAAGCCUUUCCUCCUGUCAGUUUAAAUGAGGGUGGAAGGCUAUUGGAGGGUGAAUAGUUUUAAAUGUACAAGUCACUUAAGCCCUGAUUCAAGAAGAGGGGGCAUGGACACUGCCACUCGAUGGGAGGAAUGAGAAUGGAUUUGUGUGCAUUUUUAAACCACCACAAUUUUGUAACUACUUAUCUGUAUGAAUCAGGAUUUUCCUGAUACUAUGCAGCCAAAUGCAACAAAAAAGGGCAACUGUCAUAUACAAAUCUCAAAAAUUU